rnacentral:rRNA from 1 species
GAUGAACGCUGGCGGCGUGCCUAAUACAUGCAAGUCGAGCGAAUGGAUUAAGAGCUUACUCUUAUGAAGUUAGCGGCGGACGGGUGAGUAACACGUGGGUAACCUGCCCAUAAGACUGGGAUAACUCCGGGAAACCGGGGCUAAUACCGGAUAACAUUUUGAACCGCAUGGUUCGAAAUUGAAAGGCGGCUUCGGCUGUCACUUAUGGAUGGACCCGCGUCGCAUUAGCUAGUUGGUGAGGUAACGGCUCACCAAGGCAACGAUGCGUAGCCGACCUGAGAGGGUGAUCGGCCACACUGGGACUGAGAACCGGCCCAGACUCCUACGGGAGGCAGCAGUAGGGAAUCUUCCGCAAUGGACGAAAGUCUGACGGAGCAACGCCGCGUGAGUGAUGAAGGCUUUCGGGUCGUAAAACUCUGUUGUUAGGGAAGAACAAGUGCUAGUUGAAUAAGCUGGCACCUUGACGGUACCUAACCAGAAAGCCACGGCUAACUACGUGCCAGCCGCCGCAGUAA